AUCCAGUUGACGAGUCCCAGAUAAGACGAAACGCGCGUCCUGGAU
rnacentral:hammerhead_ribozyme from 1 species